GACGAACGCUGGCGGCGUGCUUAACACAUGCAAGUCGAACGAUGAAGCCCAGCUUGCUGGGUGGAUUAGUGGCGCACGGGUGAGUAACACGUAGGUAAGCUGCCCUUAAGAUUGGGAUACCCCCGAGAAAUCGGGUUCAAUACCGAAUAUGACCACGAGGUGAAAUGCCAAGAGGUAAAAGCUGCAAGCAAUUGUGGCGCUUAAGGAGGUACCUGCGUCCUAUCAGCUUGUUGGUGAGGUAACGGCUCACCAAGGCUCAGACGGGUAGCCGGACUGGGAGGUCGAUCGGCCACACUGGAACUGAGAUACGGUCCAGACUCCUACGGGAGGCAGCAGUGGGGAAUUUUGCGCAAUGGGCGAAAGCCUGACGCAGCGACGCCGCGUGGGGGAAGAAGGCCUUCGGGUUGUAAACUCCUUUAGUACGGGAAGAAGCCGAAAGGUGACGGUACCGUAAGAAUAAGCCACGGCUAACUCUGUGCCAGCAGCCGCGGUAACAC
rnacentral:rRNA from 1 species